UUUGUGGUAGCUAAGUUUAAGCAAUAGGCUUUUAACCUUUGGAUGCACACUGGUGCUCACAAAU
rnacentral:tRNA from 1 species